GAUGAAGAACGUAGCGAAAUGCAAUACUUGGUGUGAAUUGCAGAAUCCCGUGAACCAUCGAGUUUUUGAACGCAAGUUGCGCCCGAAGCCGUUAGGCCGAGGGCACGCCUGCCUGGGUGUCACACAUCGUUGCCCCAAUGCCAAUCGCCUCACUUUGUAGGUAUUUGCUUGGGGUGAAUGUUGGCCUCCCGUGAGCUUUGUCUCACGGUUGGUUGAAAAUCGAGUGCAUGGUGUCGGGUGUACCAUGAUGGAUGGUGGUUGAGUGAUGAUGCUCGGUGACCCACAUGCGUCCCUUGGAUGCUCCCUAAGGAGACCUCAGGUCAGUCGGGGCUACCCACUGAGUUUAAGCAUAUCAAUAAGCGGAGGA
rnacentral:misc_RNA from 1 species